rnacentral:rRNA from 1 species
UGGGGAAUAUUGGACAAUGGGGGAAACCCUGAUCCAGCGACGCCGCGUGUGUGAAGAAGGCCUGCGGGUUGUAAAGCACUUUCGGUGGGAACGAAAUAUGCCGGGCCAAUACCCCGGCAGGCUGACGUUACCCAAUGAAGAAGCACCGGCUAACUCUGUGCCAGCAGCCGCGGUAAUACAGAGGGUGCGAGCGUUAAUCGGAAUUACUGGGCGUAAAGCGCACGUAGGCGGCUUCGUAAGUCGGAUGUGAAAUCCCCGGGCUCAACCUGGGAACUGCAUUCGAGACUGCGAUGCUCGAGUAUGGGAGAGGACAGCGGAAUUCCGGGUGUAGCGGUGAAAUGCGUAGAUAUCCGGAGGAACAUCAGUGGCGAAGGCGGCUGUCUGGCCCAAUACUGACGCUCAGGUGCGAAAGCGUGGGGAGCAAACAGG